rnacentral:rRNA from 1 species
UUUCGAAUCAUUCACAAUGGGCGCAAGCCUGAUGGUGCGACGCCGCGUGAGGGAUGAAGGUCUUCGGAUUGUAAACCUCUGUCACUGGGGAGAAAACGCUUUGAGUUAAUAGUUCAAAGCCUGAUUUAACCCGGAGAGGAAGCAGUGGCUAACUCUGUGCCAGCAGCCGCGGUAAUACAGAGACUGCAAGCGUUAUUCGGAUUCACUGGGCGUAAAGGGUGCGCAGGCGGCCGUGUGUGUAAGGUGUGAAAUCCCGGGGCUCAACCCCGGAACUGCGCCUUAAACUACGUGGCUAGAGUAUUGGAGAGGGUAGUGGAAUUCACGGUGUAGCAGUGAAAUGCGUAGAUAUCGUGAGGAACACCAGAGGCGAAGGCGACUACCUGGACAAUUACUGACGCUCAGGCACGAAAGCGUGGGGAGCAAAAGGG